rnacentral:ncRNA from 2 species
CCCUUAUUCAGAGUGAUGGAGGUACAAAGGACCUGUGAAGUCACGGCAACCCCGGUUGAGUAUAUCAGCAAGAUAUGCGAAAGGGCCGGAAGGUGCCAGCCUGAGCGAGGAGUAUGCUAUGGAGCAUACUUGGUCGAGCAAUAAGAG